GAGCCUAUGCGUGAGUGGUUUAACGGCUGGUCUGCAAAACCAGAAACGUCAGUUCGAGUCUGACUAGGCUCUC
rnacentral:tRNA from 2 species